AAAAAUGGCCUCUCAGGGGUUGUCUGUCAUGACCCACAUGCAGAUGAUUCACCUUCAGCACCGAGUGUGUCCAAACCACUAUACACUAUUUCAUCCAAAUCCUCAAGAUGAGAAUGAAGAGCUCCCGGGCGAUGACCCACCUAGACAUGCCAACCCAACUCAACCUAUUCUUCUUGCUAGUCACUUCGUUGUUAUGCAUACAGUUACACUUGAGGACAUCUAUCGCCUAGAGCAGCAGCAGUCAGAAUGGAUCGACCACUUUUAGCAGUGGCAUUUAGAGCACUUCGGUCAACUUCAACGCCAGCAGGAUCGCAUCGAGGCCUAUCUUCAGCAAAUGUGCUAGCAUUUUCAUAUUUCUUCACUUGAUCCUCCUGUUGUACCUGCGCCUCUUAGUGACUUUAUCUAGUUUUAUGUUUUAUUUAUUUUUCUUGUUAUUUUUAUUUGUACUUUUAUUUUUAUUAUUUUUAUUUUAUUUUUCAG
rnacentral:lncRNA from 1 species